rnacentral:rRNA from 1 species
ACGCAGCUAACGCAUUAAGUGCCCCGCCUGGGGAGUACGAUCGCAAGAUUAAAACUCAAAGGAAUUGACGGGGCCCCGCACAAGCAGCGGAGCAUGCGGCUUAAUUCGACGCAACGCGAAGAACCUUACCAAGGCUUGACAUAUAGGGAAAAGUGGCAGAGAUGUCAUGUCCGCAAGGGCUCUAUACAGGUGGUGCAUGGUUGUCGUCAGCUCGUGUCGUGAGAUGUUGGGUUAAGUCCCGCAACGAGCGCAACCCUCGUUCUGUGUUGCCAGCAUUUAGUUGGGGACUCACAGGAGACUGCCGGGGUUAACUCGGAGGAAGGUGGGGAUGACGUCAAAUCAUCAUGCCCCUUAUGUCUUGGGCUGCACGCAUGCUACAAUGGCCGGUACAGAGGGCUGCAAUACCGUAAGGUGGAGCGAAUCCCAAAAAGCCGGUCUCAGUUCGGAUUGAGGUCUGCAACUCGACCUCAUGAAGUUGGAGUUGCUAGUAAUCGUAGAUCAGCAUCGCUACGGUGAAUACGUUCCCGGGGCUUGUACACACCGCCCGUCACGUCACGAAAGU